CCUACGGGAGGCAGCAGUGAGGAAUAUUGGUCAAUGGGCGGGAGCCUGAACCAGCCAAGCCGCGUGAGGGAAGAAGGUACAGCGUAUCGUAAACCUCUUUUGUCAGGGAACAAAGGCGGGGACUCGUCCCCUGAUGAGGGUACCUUAAGAAAAAGCAUCGGCUAACUCCGUGCCAGCAGCCGCGGUAAUACGGAGGAUGCGAGCGUUAUCCGGAUUUAUUGGGUUUAAAGGGUGCGCAGGCGGCCUGUUAAGUCAGCGGUAAAAGCCCGGGGCUCAACCCCGGCGAGCCGUUGAAACUGGCGGGCUGGAGUGGGAGAGAAGUACGCGGAAUGCGCGGUGUAGCGGUGAAAUGCUUAGAUAUCGCGCAGAACCCCGAUUGCGAAGGCAGCGUACCGGCUCCACACUGACGCUGAGGCACGAAAGCGUGGGUAUCGAACAGGAUUAGAUACCCGGGUAGUC
rnacentral:rRNA from 1 species